rnacentral:rRNA from 1 species
UACGAAGGGGGCUAGCGUUGUUCGGAAUUACUGGGCGUAAAGCGCACGUAGGCGGAUAUUUAAGUUAGGGGUGAAAUCCCAGGGCUCAACCCUGGAACUGCCUUUAAUACUGGGUAUCUCGAGUCCGAGAGAGGUGAGUGGAAUUCCGAGUGUAGAGGUGAAAUUCGUAGAUAUUCGGAGGAACACCAGUGGCGAAGGCGGCUCACUGGCUCGGUACUGACGCUGAGGUGCGAAAGCGUGGGGAGCAAACAGGG